rnacentral:lncRNA from 10 species
AGAUGUGGGUAAAUUGGAAUCCUCAUACACUCCUGGUGGGUGUUGGGAACAAGCCCCUCAAAAUCUGGCUGUAAACUGGCCCCAAAACUGGCCAUAAACAAAAUCUCUGCAGCACUAUGACAUGUUCAUGAUGGCCAUAACGCCCAUGCUGGAAGGUUGUGGGUUUACCGGAAUGAGGGCAAGGAACACCUGGCCUGCCCAGGGCAGAAAACCACUUAAAGGCAUUCUUAAGCCACAAACAAUAGCAUGAGCAAUCUGUGCCUUAAGGACAUGCUCCUGCUGCAGUUAACUAGCCCAACCUAUUCCUUUAAUUCAGCCCAUCCCUUCGUUUCCCAUAAGGGAUACUUUUAGUUAAUUUAAUAUCUAUAGAAACAAUGCUAAUGACUGGCUUUGGCAGGUGGGAAUGUAAAACGGUGCAGAUGCUUUGGAAAAUGGUUUGACAACUCCUGAACCAGUUAAAUAUAGUUACCACAUGAUCUAGCAGUUUCACUCUUACAUAUAUACCCAAGAGAAAUGAAAACAUAUUUCCACUGUCCACACAAAAACUUGUAUACAAAUGUCCAUUGCGGCAUUAUUCACAAUUGCCAAAAGGUGGAAACAACCCAAAUGCCCAUCAGCUGAUGAAUGGAUAAAUAAAAUGUGGUAUACUCAAUAUUUUUCAGCAAUAAAAGGAAAUGAGGUACUAAUGUAGUCUACAACAUGAAUGAACCUUGAAAACAUGCCAAGAAGCCAGUCACAAGGACAAAAUAUUGUGAUUCCAUUUAUAUGAAAUUUUCAGAAUAGACAGAUCUAUAGAGAGAAAGUGGAUUAAUGGUUUCCUGGGGCUGGGGAAAUGGGGUGAUCAGGUUGGAGGUGAAAAAGAACAAACUCUUGCUACAGGCAACAGUGUAGAUGAAUUUAACAGACAUAGUGUUGAGUGAAAGAAGCCAGACACAAAAUAGUACAUACUGUAUGAUUCCAUUUAUACAAAGUUCAGGAACAGGUAAAACCAUUCAACGGCAAGAGAGUCAGCAGCUGUUACCUUUUGGGGUAUUGGCUGGGAGUAGGAAUAAGGCAGCCUUUUGUGGUUUUGGGAAUGCUCUAUUAUCUUAAUCUGGAAGGUGGGUACAAGAGUGAGUGUGAGUAUGUAUGUUUGUGAAUACAUCUAUGUUAAAGAAUUCAUUUAGUUGUACACUGAAUAUUUGUUCACUUUACUAUGUAAGUUCAAGCACAAUAACAAAAAUUGUAUAGAUAAAAUAAAAAGUACUAUCCCACCAAUCUAGUUAGCUUGGGAGCUUCCCUAUAACUGAAGCAAACUGGAUCAAAAUGCUUCUCUCCUCUUCUCCAGGGCCACAUAGUCUGCAUAUUUUUAACUUUUCCUCUUCAUGGCUGCCUUCGAUUGUCACUAACUGAUUUCAGAGAAACCUUGAGGCAGAGAAACCUUGUGGCUUCAGGGAAUGCCAGAACUUGGACCUUUAGGUCUCAGAACCCCUCUAAAAAGGUUUUCCUUUAUGGCUGAGGCCUCUUUCUCUUUCCAAUUGAAGGCUUAUCAGGAAGGAGGGUUCCCAGGAAGCAAGCUGGGCAGGCCUACGUACUUGAAGUCUCAGAGAGUCAUAUAAUUAAAACUCCUUUGUAUUGCCUGGGUUUUCCUCUCAUUAUGCAGUAACCACACCCUUUUUAUAACAUUUAUGAUGUUACCUGCACAUAUACUCACUGGGAAACAAUGUGAAGUUAAGCCUAGAUCUGUGACUAACACCAUAAAAGCAAAACAAUCGCUCUACCUCAUAGGAGUGCUGCUAAAAAGACACAAAGACAUAUUUUAAAAUAUUUACGUUAAGAGCAAUACCAUAACCAGGUAACAUAGAUGAAAACUUCAUAAACUGAAAGAGGUCACACAAAUGACCAAGACAUAGUUUUAACUAUAUCAUGGAAAUCUCCAAAAAUUAUGUUCAUCUAUAAAGUAAGUGAAAGCACCGGAACAGCUUCCUCCAAAUGAGCCUUGUAAAUGGAUCUACUAAUAACACACUCCACUCUUAAAUCUGAAAAUAAACCAAGCCAAUAUUAAGUGAAAAGUAACCUCUGGUAAAACUGACACGCCACUUUAGGUAGCUGCAGCCAUGCAAAAGUUUGAUAUCAAAGUAUCUGAAAAGCAUAGCAUUCACCAGUUGUCGAAGCACCGUUCCGGGACUUGCAGCAUCAGCUUCACUUGAGAACCUGUUAGAGAUGCACAUUCUCGGGCCCCAACUCAGGCCCACUGAAUCAGAAACUCUGGGAAUGGGGUCCCCAGCACUCCAGGUGUUUUUGUUGUUGUUGUUUUUGGGGUUUUUUUGAGACGGAGUCUCGCUCUGUUGCCCAGGCUGGAGUGCAGUGGCGCGAUCUCGGCUCACUGCAAGCUCCGCCUCCCGGGUUGACGCCGUUCUCCUACCUCAGCCUCCCGAGUAGCCGGGACUACAGGCGCCCGCCCCCACGCCCGGCUAAUUUUUUGUAUUUUUAGUAGAGACAGGGUUUCACCGUGUUAGCCAAGGAUGGUCUUUAUCUCCUGACCUCGUGAUCCGCCCGCCUCGGCAUCCCAAAGUGCACUCCAGGUUUUAAUUACCUCUCGGGUGAUUGUGGUGCACGCUCAAGUUUGAGAACCUCAGCUGUACCCAAUUACUUUAGGUGGGCAAGGGCUUUCUAGAAGAUCAAACACUUCAAACACCUGGCUUCAGCUCACAAGCACGGGACAAAAGCUCUCGGUCCUCUUCCUUGUUCUCCGCGGGGUUUGUAGUAUGAAUCUCAGGUCACAAACUCGGACUAUCACCUUAAUUCAGACCCUCCCUCCCGGAGUGAUCUAGGUCGUGUGUCGUCUCUCCUUCUCCGCUGUUGCAGCACAGAUGGAAAUGGAAUGGGUCUCGCUUGCAGUCUGUCACGACCUCCACUGACUUCUUCAGGGUGGUCGCUCGCGGUGGUCCUAAGGCGCUCUCAUCCUCCACACCUCGCUGGGGGACCGGCGAUCUCCUCCAAAGGGUCGCCCCAAACCCCGGCCGCGCCACCCCCAGCUCCAGGGGACCAGCAGCUGGCAGCUCCGCUCUCCCACCCUCAACAAUGCCGGGUUUCCUCGCUUCUCCGGCUUUUACAAGAGGUCGGGAGAACGUUUGAAUUGUGGUUGCUUCUUCUUUGAAUCUUGCAACAUUCCUGAAAGCCCUACGGAACCGAAAUUUGGAGAGAACACAAAUAACAAGUCUAAAAAUUAUCUUGCCACAGGAUAGUAGGUGCUUCCUACCAUUACCUAAGUAAUUUGACACCAUAUAUUAUUUAAUACACUUCAGGGUUAUACAUAAAGGUAAAAUGUGAAAGCUUGCAACUAAUAAUUACAGCAAUAAGCAAACACAUGUUUUUCCUCUUUAGUUUCGCUUUUUAAAAUUAUCAAAUUAUUUUUAUGGACACAGUAAUCAAAAUAGAAACAAUUUAGCCUAGGAAAUUUAGCAAGACUCCAUCUCUACAAAAAGUUAAACAAUUACUUAGGUGUGGUGGCUGGUACCUGUAGUCCCAGCUACUCCGAAGGCUGAAGUGGGAAAAUUGCUUGAGCUGGGGAGGUAGAGGCUACAGUGAGCUGAUCACACCACUGCAUUACAGCCUGGGCAACAGAGACCUUGCUGCACCCCCUGGCUCUCUUCUGCUCAGUAACAGCAACUGUCUCAGUCAAGCGCCUCUCUGUGGAACACUGCUGUUCCUUCA